AGCAACUCCAGGCCAGCCAGCCCUUCUCUUUUGUCAGGCAUCCCUUUAACUUUGUCUUUCCUCCAGCAGUUCUGUCUGGGUAGCACCAUAGCUUGAGGUCCAGAUGUGCUGGCUUUUAUAACAGGACCACUCUGGACUUGGGAGGGCGUGAAGAUUUCACGACAGAAAUAUCAGAUACCCAGCAGGGCCGCGCGGAUAGAUGGACGCAUGCGCGCAGGUGUGCAGGUGUGCACACACCUGCCGGCUUGAACCACGUCCAAGGCCGGUGUGUGGUUGGUGAGGUUUGUCUUCUGCUGUGUCCGGGAAGGGAGACACGCUCUCCCCUGUGGCUUUGCCCUGGAGGAGCCGGCCCCAUCAGAUCAUUUAUAACAAAUUUCAGUUCAGGCUCCUGGACGGGGAGGCCAGCCGGGGGCCGGGGGCCGGGGGCCGGGGAGGAAGGUGCGGGGCUGUGGCCUCCGGAGGUAUGUGAGGAAUGUUAAUGGCAUGCUUGAGUGGCGGAUGCCGAGCUCGGAGCCCUGUUCUUGUGGCUUUCUGUUGUGGUCCUGGGGUGUCCUAGCAACAGCUCUGGCUGCAUCCCAAGAAUGCCCCCCUCCCUUUUAAAUUAAAAUUAGCUAACUCACCCCCUCCCCCCCCCCCAAAAAAAAAAAGAAAAAAAAACUUGCUCUGCUGCGCAAGAAGAAUCGGGGUAGGAUUCAGAUUCUUUCUUCAGCAUGAUAAGCUUUUAAGGAAGAAAAGGCCUGCAUCCUUAAUUCUUGCUCUUUAAAUGAGCAAUUUGUACUUCUGGUUGAGAUCUACAUUCCCCCUGGGGUAGAAUUCUUUUUCUUUUUCUUUGGAAAAGAAUGGAGGUGAACACAAGUUUCUAAAGCUGUGGGCAAAGUCAUUAGCAAAAAUAUGCUUGGAAAAAAAAUGUAGUUAGUGGUUGGAGAUUUUCCCAGUCCUCGUUGCUUCUUAGCAAUUCUGUGGGCAGCUACAUUUUUCCCCUUGUGAUAAUGUAAGCUUUAUAAGCCUGGCUGUUCAGGUGACAGGAAAUUCAAACAGAUGCUAAUUGUACUCAUUGUACCCGAGUGGUGUGUGUUUGGGCUCCAAUAAAAGUCUUAGAUCUGGGUAACAGCUGGCCACAGAAAAAGAGGGAAGGGAACUAACUACUCUUGGUAGUUUUAAGUUGUAAUUGGUUAGACAUUAAAUUAGCCACCUACAAAAACCGAGGGUGUCUCAGGAUUAGAGAUCACUACAAAAUAAUAACCCCCUGCAACCUGGGCUGGCACGAUAGGUGGGCAGGAAAAGAUUGGGAUUCUCUUUGCUCACUGCCCGCCCUGGGUUGGAAGGGCCAGUCCUUGUCUGAUUGCCGGCAGUGUUCGGAAGGCUCAGCGCCAUCACACACAAGAGACUUGGAAGCAGUCUGAGGGUCAGAAUGAUGACUAUGCAGGAGGAUUCUGCGCUGUCUUGCUGCCCCACAACCCUGGGAGAAUGUGCUCAAGAACUUUUUUCUGCCCUUCAGUUUUUAGCUUGACAUACUUCCCUCAACUCUUGGGAAAUCAGAUUUCACAGUGGACCACGAUCCCCCGCCCUAUCUAGCGCCUUUGUAGCUGGGAUUGCAGAUAGGCUCCCCCACCCUCAGCUUGUUGUUUGAGGUAGUCCUCACUAACGUUCGUCUGGGCUGACAUCCAGCUACAAUCCUAUCUCUGCUUCCCAAGUGGCUGCAAUUACAGGCAUGAGCCACCGUGUCCCUCCAGCCUUGGCCUCUUACAAUAUUCAAUGUUAUCAACUAGUUAGGUUCUGACGUGCCUUAUUUUUAUUUACGUUUUUAAAAAUCAGUAUAUCUUAAUGAUACCAAGUGCCAUCGUGGUAUUUCCACACGUGUGUACUGCAUCAUAAGCGAAGUGUUUAGGGUUUGAGCAGACAAUGAGCCAAGAUGGAGCCACCUUUCUGAAAAGCAGGCAAACCUGAGAGGGCCGUGGUUCACUGGGAGGGAAGGGAGGGAGAGAGGACAUAGAGACACGGAGAGAGAGGGGGAG